rnacentral:rRNA from 1 species
UACGUAGGGUGCGAGCGUUGUCCGGAAUUAUUGGGCGUAAAGAGCUCGUAGGCGGCCUGUCGCGUCGGAUGUGAAAACCCGGGGCUCAACCCCGGGCCUGCAGUCGAUACGGGCAGACUAGAGUGCGGUAGGGGAGACUGGAAUUCCUGGUGUAGCGGUGAAAUGCGCAGAUAUCAGGAGGAACACCGGUGGCGAAGGCGGUUCUCUGGGCAUGUCCUGACGCUGAGGAGCGAAAGUGUGGGGAGCGAAACAGG